CCUACGGGAGGCAGCAGUGAGGAAUAUUGGUCAAUGGACGAGAGUCUGAACCAGCCAAGUAGCGUGAAGGAUGACUGCCCUAUGGGUUGUAAACUUCUUUUAUAUGGGAAUAAAACGUUCCACGUGUGGGAUUUUGUAUGUACCAUAUGAAUAAGGAUCGGCUAACUCCGUGCCAGCAGCCGCGGUAAUACGGAGGAUCCGAGCGUUAUCCGGAUUUAUUGGGUUUAAAGGGAGCGUAGGUGGAUUGUUAAGUCAGUUGUGAAAGUUUGCGGCUCAACCGUGAAAUUGCAGUUGAAACUGGCAGUCUUGAGUACAGUAGAGGUGGGCGGAAUUCGUGGUGUAGCGGUGAAAUGCUUAGAUAUCACGAAGAACUCCGAUUGCGAAGGCAGUUCACUGGACUGCAACUGACACUGAGGCUCGAAAGUGUGGGUAUCAAACAGGAUUAGAUACCCUUGUAGUC
rnacentral:rRNA from 1 species